rnacentral:rRNA from 1 species
CUUCGAUGGAUAGGGGUUCUGAGAGGAAGGUCCCCCACAUUGGAACUGAGACACGGUCCAAACUCCUACGGGAGGCAGCAGUGAGGAAUAUUGGUCAAUGGACGAGAGUCUGAACCAGCCAAGUAGCGUGAAGGAUGACUGCCCUAUGGGUUGUAAACUUCUUUUAUACGGGAAUAAAGUGAGGCACGUGUGCCUUUUUGUAUGUACCGUAUGAAUAAGGAUCGGCUAACUCCGUGCCAGCAGCCGCGGUAAUACGGAGGAUCCGAGCGUUAUCCGGAUUUAUUGGGUUUAAAGGGAGCGUAGGCGGACGCUUAAGUCAGUUGUGAAAGUUUGCGGCUCAACCGUAAAAUUGCAGUUGAUACUGGGUGUCUUGAGUACAGUAGAGGCAGGCGGAAUUCGUGGUGUAGCGGUGAAAUGCUUAGAUAUCACGAAGAACUCCGAUUGCGAAGGCAGCUUACUGGACUGUAACUGACGCUGAUGCUCGAAAGUGUGGGUAUCAAACAGGAUUAGAUACCCUGGUAGUCCACACGGUAAACGAUGAAUACUCGCUGUUUGCGAUAUACAGCAAGCGGCCAAGCGAAAGCGUUAAGUAUUCCACCUGGGGAGUACGCCGGCAACGGUGAAACUCAAAGGAAUUGACGGGGGCCCGCACAAGCGGAGGAACAUGUGGUUUAAUUCGAUGAUACGCGAGGAACCUUACCCGGGCUUGAAUUGCAACUGAAUGAUGUGGAGACAUGUCAGCCGCAAGGCAGUUGUGAAGGUGCUGCAUGGUUGUCGUCAGCUCGUGCCGUGAGGUGUCGGCUUAAGUGCCAUAACGAGCGCAACCCUUGUCGUCAGUUACUAACAGGUCAUGCUGAGGACUCUGACAAGACUGCCAUCGUAAGAUGUGAGGAAGGUGGGGAUGACGUCAAAUCAGCACGGCCCUUACGUCCGGGGCUACACACGUGUUACAAUGGGGGGUACAGAGGGCCGCUACCCCGCGAGUGGAUGCCAAUCCCCAAAACCUCUCUCAGUUCGGACUGGAGUCUGCAACCCGACUCCACGAAGCUGGAUUCGCUAGUAAUCGCGCAUCAGCCACGGCGCGGUGAAUACGUUCCCGGGCCUUGUACACACCGCCCGUCAAGCCAUGAAAGCCGGGGGUACCUGAAGUGCGUAACCGCAAGGAGCGCCCUAGGGUAAAACUGGUGAUUGGGGCUAAGUCGUAACAAGGUAGCCGUACCGGAAGGUGCGGCUG